UAAAACAAGACUAUUAACGGAUUCUUAAAUUUAUACAACUGUAUAUCAAAAAAUAUUCAAACUGUUUUCUCUUCUAAACAAAAGCCUGAUUUUUAGGAACUUGGUACACAGGUACACCCCAAGUGGCGCUUACACAAGGAUCACAAAGCUAUAUAGGGCAAACAACACCUCUAAAAAACACAAGGAUCAAUAAGUUGUCCAGAAAAACCUACAGAAGCGGGGGAAAUAAGACCAAGCCUUACGUUAGGGCCGAGACAGAGUACACAGCGUGUCAAGAAGCGGGGCCAUCCGGAAUAACACAGAA